rnacentral:rRNA from 1 species
AUUGAACGCUGGCGGCAUGCCUUACACAUGCAAGUCGAACGGCAGCGCGGACUUCGGUCUGGUGGCGAGUGGCGAACGGGUGAGUAAUAUAUCGGAACAUACCUUGUAGUGGGGGAUAACUAUCCGAAAGGAUAGCUAAUACCGCAUACGCUCUAAGGAGGAAAGCGGGGGAUCGUAAGACCUCGUGCUAUAAGAGUGGCCGAUAUCUGAUUAGCUAGUUGGUGAGGUAAAGGCUCACCAAGGCGACGAUCAGUAGCUGGUCUGAGAGGACGACCAGCCACACUGGAACUGAGACACGGUCCAGACUCCUACGGGAGGCAGCAGUGGGGAAUUUUGGACAAUGGGGGCAACCCUGAUCCAGCAAUGCCGCGUGAGUGAAGAAGGCCUUCGGGUUGUAAAGCUCUUUUGUCAGGGAAGAAACGGUUGUGGCUAAUAUCCAUGGCUAAUGACGGUACCUGAAGAAUAAGCACCGGCUAACUACGUGCCAGCAGCCGCCGUAAAAC